rnacentral:tRNA from 1 species
GCCACCGUAGCUCAGUUGGUAGAGCAAUACUUUCGUAAAGUAGAGGUCGGCGGUUCAAAUCCGCCCGGUGGCUCCA